rnacentral:lncRNA from 1 species
UAAAGAUUUUAGGAGUGAAGGGAGAGAGGAGAGAGAAUUCAAGUGUUCUAAAUUCUUUCAGUAGAAACACAAAACCAACCUCACAAGGACACUUAACUGUGAUGAAAUUUUAAAAACUCAUUUCAAUCAGACCUGUAAAUAGGGCAGCCGGAGUGAUUUUAGUAACUGUGUAGAAGUUGCAGACAAAGGAAAAGACACCCUCCUGUGUUUCAAGGGAUUUUGUGAGUAGAUCAAAAUAGAUGAAAGGAAGAAGGCAAGGAAAAAACACUUUCCAGAGAGAGACUGAAACAAAAAGACUUUGGGCACAAGGAAUUAUCUCAGGAGUGGGAACUGAACCCAAAUCCCAAAUUCGACACUUCAUUACCUUCAACGGACCAUUCUUCACACAAUGAACUGGGAAUUUCUUGUUAGCCAUGCUGACACCUGCAACUCUAUGCCAUUUUUCUUUAUAGAUAUACUGACUUUUGAAUAUGUGGUAAAUACAGAGAAAAAAAAGCCCCUCCAGUGUUGUUUCCUGCAAAGACCAUUCUUAAGAGCUCGUUGGACAGCGCAGGGCUCUUGAAGUGAUAGCUAAUUGGUGAAAGAAAGGCCCCGAUUGUCUUGAGGGAGCUGGAAAGUGCUGCGUGUGCUGCUGAAAGGGACUAGGGAGAAGGUGCCUGGUUUCGCUGAGCAGCUGCUGCUGGAGAUGUUUGGAGAUUACAUCAGCAUUGGAAAAAAGGGGCAAAAAAAAAGUCCAACUUCACAGAGACGGAGUUUAUGGAGUUUUUUUCCCCUUCCAAAGGUCUUCUGACAAUACUGUCAUUGUCAAUAUAAGAGUUGUUAAUUCUUUAUGAAUAGCACAUGGGGCCUCUUGACUAAAUAGUACGUUACAUGUCCCAAAUCUGUCAGCUGGGCUCUUCUCUCACAUGCUAGUGAGAUCACUUUGAUUGGAAUGUUACAGGAAUUGCGGGGCCGGCCACAGAACUGAAUACUGCAUUAUAUAAUUAGAUCUCCCCAAGUAUUUUUUUUUCACAUUACCUCAUUAUUCUAGCUUAAAUAUGGAAUCAGUCCUUUUGAUGAUUUUGCUGAUUGUGAUUAUAUUCAUACGAUUCAUUUUAUGGUCCUGCCUUAGUGCUUAUAUAGAUUACAAACUGUCCCGAAGGUUUCCUGACAAGAGAAAAGAGGACUAGGAUACUUCAAAAGGCUUGUUCGGAUUUGAACUGGCAAUGAGGACAACUGGACGAGGUAAAUGGAGCUAGAGCAGAUUUUACUUCGGGUUCUGAUGAGAGAGAAAUGACCUGCUGAGACUGCAACUGAGUGAAGAGUCUUCAGAAGGCCUCAUGCUGACAGAGAGGGGGGGAAAUCCAACAACUGAUUGAAUCAAACGACUUCCUAUCAGACUAGGGCAAGAAUUUGUUGUUGGGAACAGACUUGUGGACUUUUGCCAAUGAAAUGAUCUGGACAAGCUGGAUGGAAUCCUAUUGUUGGGCAGUCCAAGACUGCCAGUGGCCCCGUCUUGAUACAUGAAAUGCGAUGGCUCAUUGCCUGCUGGACAAACUGCUGAUCUGCACGUUAAGAUGUCAGCUGCACAGCCUGCCUGGAUGCAACAACUGACUGUGCCUGAACGAACAUGAGGAUUACUGGCCCAGUUUAGGAUCCGUGUCUAAGGAAGCAGAUUUACAGAGUGCAUUUUUACAUGAUUGACUGUCUUGUUGCUAAAUUUUUCUUGUGGUUCAUCCCGGUCAGUUGGAUCAGAAACUGAGUGU